rnacentral:lncRNA from 1 species
CAAGCAGGUGUCAGAGAAACACCAGACUAAAGGAGCUAUCUAUUGCUGUGCAAGCUUUAGUCAAGGUGUCACCUCAGUCUGUGGGUUUGAGCAGCAGCAUAGGUACUCUUUUCUGUGUGCCACUCAUAUGAUCUGCAAGCACAUAUCUGUGUAAAUUUGGACCACACACCCUCCUCCCAAUUGCCUCCAGCACAGCUGCCUGUACGGGAGGCCCUUCAGAGUCAUGGCACAGUCUGUCAGGUGACAGGUGGGACUUGGAGUCUUGAUCUUCCUCCUGUGCCCAGGCAGCCGAGCUGUGCACUGUCUGGUAGCACUGCCUCUCUUAUUUCUCUCAUCAUAAGAGCAUCAUAAGAAAUGGCAAGGACUGAAUUUCUCACAAGGACUGGAGCAUUUGCCCAGGGCUCUGAUCAUUGAACUUGAGGACCUUUGAACCUGUAGCUCCAUAUACCAAUGAAUUAACUCUAGGUUAUACCACGUGCCUCUUAAAACUGAAUACAGGGGGAACAAGCACAGGAGAGCCAUAAUCUCUAGGAUGCAGGUUGGGAUACUCAGCAUAG